rnacentral:rRNA from 1 species
GGUUGAUCCUGCCAGUAGCAUAUGCUUGUUUUAAAGAUUAAGCCAUGCAUGCGUAAGUAUAGACACUUUCUAUACCGUCGAAACUGCGAACAGCUCAUUACAUCAGUUAUAAUUUCUUUGAAGAUUAACCCUUUCUACAUGGAUACCCGUAGAAAAGCUAGAGCUAAUACAUGCGUGAAGCCCUGACUAUUUGUAAUGGAAAGGGUGUGUUUAUUAGAUUCAAACCUGCUAGAUAACUGGUCAAACAGUUGUCUUAGUUUGGUGAUUCAUGGUAACUGUUUCGGAUCGCUUGU